rnacentral:rRNA from 1 species
AACGAACGCUGGCGGCGCGCCUAAUACAUGCAAGUCGAGCGAGAAGACGUAGCAAUACGUUUGUAAAGCGGCGAACGGGUGAGGAAUACAUGGGUAACCUACCCUCGAGUGGGGAAGUAACUAGCCGAAAGGUUAGCUAAUACCGCGUACGCUCCUCGGACUUCGGUUCAGGGAGGAAAGCGAUACCGUGGGUAUCGCGCUCUUGGAUGGGCUCAUGUCCUAUCAGCUUGUUGGUGAGGUAACGGCUCACCAAGGCUUCGACGGGUAGCUGGUCUGAGAGGACGAUCAGCCACACUGGCACUGCGACACGGGCCAGACUCCUACGGGAGGCAGCAGUAAGGAAUAUUGCGCAAUGGGCGAAAGCCUGACGCAGCGACGCCGC